UGCGUUUAUUGAUAACCCAAUCGAUAAACGAAACUGCUUUUUGUAACAACUUUGUAAAAGUUUAUUGACGAUUUGUAAUAAUUAUCAUGUGUUAGCAGCAAAAAUACCUUCAAAUCCUGACAUGAGAAAUUAGCUAAAAGGAACUCCUAUCUUAUGCACAGACCUAACAAAAUAGCAGACUAAUUGUUUCUUGGCAUACUUAUGUGCACAUUGUCAUUC
rnacentral:lncRNA from 1 species